CUCAAACUGAUCUGACACAGGCUCUGCCGCCUUAGACAGGCAGAGACUCUUUUAUCUCCUGUACAGGAGCGAGCCUGCCCAGCCUGGCAGGUCCGGGUCCCAGGCUUCGUGAAUGUCCCGUCCAGUCUGUCUUGGAAGUGACCUGGUCCAUAGGGUCCCCCACAUCCGAUUACAACGGAAGAUGCCGACUAGCCUUUUAGUGAAGUCUGCGUGCAACAACAGGGUCCUCAAGAUGUGAUCAUCAAAACAAUGUCUGGAGUGCUAGCGGUCUGUUAGAAUAAGGGUGGGCAGGGGAAACCCUUCAGAGAGUCCAUGAACGAGGGCCUCAAGAUUUAUGUCAUAACUCGAGCAAGGCUGCAGUGUAAUGUAAUCAUUCAUGCAUUACUGGGUGGCCUGAUGGUGUUUCAAAGAAGUUGAGAACCAUGAGAGAAGUCUGUAUGUACUUCUUACAGUAAAUAAUGUCUUAC